rnacentral:rRNA from 1 species
UACGUAGGGUGCGAGCGUUGUCCGGAAUUACUGGGCGUAAAGAGCUCGUAGGUGGUUUGUCGCGUUGUUCGUGAAAACUCACAGCUUAACUGUGGGCGUGCGGGCGAUACGGGCAGACUGGAGUACUGCAGGGGGAGACUGGAAUUCCUGGUGUAGCGGUGGAAUGCGCAGAUAUCAGGAGGAACACCGGUGGCGAAGGCGGGUCUCUGGGCAGUAACUGACGCUGAGGAGCGAAAGCGUGGGGAGCGAACAGG